rnacentral:rRNA from 1 species
GACGAACGCUGGCGGCGUGCCUAACACAUGCAAGUCGAACGGGAUCCGCAAGGGUUCAGUGGCGGACGGGUGCGUAACACGUGAAGAACAUGUCUUUCGGUGGGGGAGUAGCCGGCCCAACGGCCGGGUAAGUACCGCAUACGCUGUUCGGGGCGUCCUGCCCUGAAUACGGAAAGACAGCAAUGCGCCGAUCGAGUGCUUCGCGGCCUAUCAGCUAGUUGGUGAGGUAAUGGCUCACCAAGGCGACGACGGGUAGCUGGUCUGAGAGGAUGGCCAGCCACAUUGGGACUGAGACACGGCCCAGACUCCUACGGGAGGCAGCAGUGGGGAAUAUUGCGCAAUGGGCGAAAGCCUGACGCAGCGACGCCGCGUGU